AGAGUUUGAUCCUGGCUCAGGAUGAACGCUGGCGGCGUGCCUAAUACAUGCAAGUCGAACGCACUGUGGUUCAACUGAUUUGAAGAGCUUGCUCUGAUAUGACGAUGAACAUUGCAGUGAGUGGCGAACGGGUGAGUAACACGUGGGAAACCUACCUCUUAGCGGGGGAUAACAUCUGGAAACAGAUGCUAAUACCGCAUAACACUAGCAACCGCAUGGUUGCUACUUGAAAGAUGGUUCUGCUAUCACAAAGAGAUGGUCCCGCGGCGCAUUAGUUAGUUGGUGAGGUAAUGGCUCACCAAGACGAUGAUGCGUAGCCGAGUUGAGAGACUGAUCGGCCACAAUGGGACUGAGACACGGCCCAUACUCCUACGGGAGGCAGCAGUAGGGAAUCUUCCACAAUGGACGAAAGUCUGAUGGAGCAACGCCGCGUGUGCGAUGAAGGGUUUCGGCUCGUAAAACACUGUUGUAAGAGAAGAAUAGCAUCAAGAGUAACUGCUUGGUGUGUGACGGUAUCUUACCAGAAAGGAACGGCUAAAUACGUGCCAGCAGCCGCGGUAAUACGUAUGUUCCAAGCGUUAUCCGGAUUUAUUGGGCGUAAAGCGAGCGCAGACGGUUUUUUAAGUCCGAAGUGAAAGCCCACAGCUUAACUGUGGAAGUGCUUUGGAAACUGGAUGACUUGAGUGCAGUAGAGGAGAGUGGAAUUCCAUGUGUAGCGGU
rnacentral:rRNA from 1 species